rnacentral:rRNA from 1 species
GUCUACAACCAGGCUACCCUCAACAAGCCCGAUCCCAUCUGAUAUGAGAAGCUAAGCAGGGUCAGGUCUGGUCAGUACUUGGAUGGGAGACCACCUAGGAAGACAGGUGCUGUAGGUG